UUGUUUGUACCCUUGUGUACGACAUGAGUGUGAAACACUAUAGAUGCUUAUUUUUCUAACCGCUAGCUAGCAGGAAUGAGUUUGAAACAUGAGGGGGAAGUGCUCCUACUUCUCUUAAGAGCUUCAAAUGUGGAGAGUUAGGUGAGAUGAAGGAACAAUUAUAAGAGCUAUUGGAUAAGAAGUCUUUGAGACCUAAUGUAUCAUCGUGGAGAGCACCAAGGUUACUGGUUAAGAAGAAAAUGGUAGCAAGAUGUUAUGUGUUG
rnacentral:lncRNA from 1 species